GGAGAGAUGACCGAGUGGCUUAAGGUGCACGCUUGGAAAGCGUGUGUUCUGCAAAACGGAACCCAGGGUUCGAAUCCCUGUCUCUCCG
rnacentral:tRNA from 4 species